rnacentral:lncRNA from 1 species
UUAAAAAAAAAAAAAUCAGAUCAGAGAGUUUGAAAGGAUUCCUUUGGAUAUGGGAUAGAUUUUCUCCUCCAAUGUUCUUCGUUUACCCACCAGACUAAAAGGGAAAAGUCGGAUGACUUCUAGUCUCCCCAUUUCUCAUCCCAUCCCUCUAAAAUUCUCUCUUCAAGAGCAGGAAAUGGGCAACAAGGAUGAAGGAGGAAGAUAAUUGAUUCUUCAUCUCCAUUAUCUGAAUCAUUUCUGUGAUAUAAUCAUGGUAAUUUCUUGCCCCUUUUCCAUGUUUAUUGUCUC